rnacentral:rRNA from 1 species
GAUGGACGCUGGCGGCGUGCCUAAUACAUGCAAGUCGAGCGAACGGACGAGAAGCUUGCUUCUCUGAUGUUAGCGGCGGACGGGUGAGUAACACGUGGAUAACCUACCUAUAAGACUGGGAUAACUUCGGGAAACCGGAGCUAAUACCGGAUAAUAUUUUGAACCGCAUGGUUCAAAAGUGAAAGACGGUCUUGCUGUCACUUAUAGAUGGAUCCGCGCUGCAUUAGCUAGUUGGUAAGGUAACGGCCUACCAAGGCAACGAUGCAUAGCCGACCUGAGAGGGUGAUCGGCCACACUGGAACUGAGACACGGUCCAGACUCCUACGGGAGGCAGCAGUAGGGAAUCUUCCGCAAUGGGCGAAAGCCUGACGGAGCAACGCCGCGUGAGUGAUGAAGGUCUUCGGAUCGUAAAACUCUGUCAUUAGGGAAGAACAUAUGUGUAAGUAACUGUGCACAUCUUGACGGUACCUAAUCAGAAAGCCACGGCUAACUACGUGCCAGCAGCCGCGGUAAUACGUAGGUGGCAAGCGUUAUCCGGAAUUAUUGGGCGUAAAGCGCGCGUAGGCGGUUUUUUAAGUCUGAUGUGAAAGCCCACGGCUCAACCGUGGAGGGUCAUUGGAAACUGGAAAACUUGAGUGCAGAAGAGGAAAGUGGAAUUCCAUGUGUAGCGGUGAAAUGCGCAGAGAUAUGGAGGAACACCAGUGGCGAAGGCGACUUUCUGGUCUGUAACUGACGCUGAUGUGCGAAAGCGUGGGGAUCAAACAGGAUUAGAUACCCUGGUAGUCCACGCCGUAAACGAUGAGUGCUAAGUGUUAGGGGGUUUCCGCCCCUUAGUGCUGCAGCUAACGCAUUAAGCACUCCGCCUGGGGAGUACGACCGCAAGGUUGAAACUCAAAGGAAUUGACGGGGACCCGCACAAGCGGUGGAGCAUGUGGUUUAAUUCGAAGCAACGCGAAGAACCUUACCAAAUCUUGACAUCCUUUGACAACUCUAGAGAUAGAGCUUUCCCCUUCGGGGGACAAAGUGACAGGUGGUGCAUGGUUGUCGUCAGCUCGUGUCGUGAGAUGUUGGGUUAAGUCCCGCAACGAGCGCAACCCUUAAGCUUAGUUGCCAUCAUUAAGUUGGGCACUCUAAGUUGACUGCCGGUGACAAACCGGAGGAAGGUGGGGAUGACGUCAAAUCAUCAUGCCCCUUAUGAUUUGGGCUACACACGUGCUACAAUGGACAAUACAAAGGGCAGCGAAACCGCGAGGUCAAGCAAAUCCCAUAAAGUUGUUCUCAGUUCGGAUUGUAGUCUGCAACUCGACUACAUGAAGCUGGAAUCGCUAGUAAUCGUAGAUCAGCAUGCUACGGUGAAUACGUUCCCGGGUCU